rnacentral:rRNA from 1 species
AGAGUUUGAUCCUGGCUCAGAAUGAACGCUGGCGGCGUGCUUUACACAUGCAAGUCGAGCGAGGCGUGUAGCAAUACACAGUCGAGCGGCGAACGGGUGAGUAACACGUGGAUAACCUGCCCAGAGGUGGGGGAUAACCCGGGGAAACUCGGGCUAAUACCGCAUGAUACCGAAAGGUCAAAGGGGGCUCGCAAGGGCUCUCGCCAUUGGAGGGGUCCGCGUCCGAUUAGCUAGUUGGUAGGGUAAUGGCCUACCAAGGCGACGAUCGGUAGCCGGCCUGAGAGGGUGAUCGGCCACACUGGAACUGAGACACGGUCCAGACUCCUACGGGAGGCAGCAGUGGGGAAUUUUGCGCAAUGGGCUAACGCCUGACGCAGCAACGCCGCGUGGAGGAUGAAGGUCUUUGGAUUGUAAACUCCUGUCAGCAGGGAAAAAGCAACUCGGACGAAUAAUCCGGGGAGUUGAUUGUACCUGCAGAGGAAGCCCCGGCUAACUCUGUGCCAGCAGCCGCGGUAAUACAGAGGGGGCAAGCGUUAUUCGGAAUUAUUGGGCGUAAAGGGCGCGUAGGCGGCUUGGCAAGUGGAAGGUGAAAUCCCUCGGCUUAACCAAGGAACUGCCUUCCAGACUGCUUAGCUUGAGACCGGGAGAGGUGAGUGGAAUUCCCAGUGUAGCGGUGAAAUGCGUAGAUAUUGGGAGGAACACCAGUGGCGAAGGCGGCUCACUGGACCGGUACUGACGCUGAGGCGCGAAAGCGUGGGGAGCAAACGGGAUUAGAUACCCCGGUAGUCC